GGGGAAGUGGCUCAGUGGUAGAGUACUUGCCUUGCAUGCAUGAGGCCCUGGGUUCGAUUCCUCAGCACCA
rnacentral:tRNA from 1 species